rnacentral:rRNA from 1 species
GAUCCUGGCUCAGGAUGAACGCUGGCGGCGUGCUUAACACAUGCAAGUCGAGCGAAGCACUGGUUCGGAUUCUCGGAUUGAAGGACCUUGACUGAGCGGCGGACGGGUGAGUAACGCGUGGGGAACCUGCCCCAUACCGGGGGAUAACAGCUGGAAACAGCUGCUAAUACCGCAUAAGCGCACGAGGAGGCAUCUUCUUGUGUGAAAAAACUCCGGUGGUAUGGGAUGGACCCGCGUCGGAUUAGCCAGUUGGCGGGGUAACGGCCCACCAAAGCGACGAUCCGUAGCCGGCCUGAGAGGGCGACCGGCCACAUUGGGACUGAGACACGGCCCAAACUCCUACGGGAGGCAGCAGUGGGGAAUAUUGCACAAUGGGGGAAACCCUGAAUGCAGCGACGCCGCGUGAGUGACGAAGUAUUUCGGUAUGUAAAGCCCUAUCAGCAGGGAAGAAGACGACGGUACCUGACUAAGAAGCCCCGGCUAACUACGUGCCAGCCGCCGC